AUUUUGAUCUCGUUCCGGUUUUUCUCAAUGAUCGAAAUGGUACAUGUUCUAGAGCUUGUCAAGAAGAUAAAACCUGUUAAAGAUCAUAUUAAUCGAACGCUGAUCGUUAUGUAAUCGGAGAUGAUUUGAGUGAAAUUAUUUCUGUGAAAAUAGAUUUGGUUGCACUGUAUCAAACCCCUUUUAUCAGAGGAUAAAUUUUUUCUUUUUGAUCAUGAAAAUUCCUAAAGAAGAUUUGGCAAUGGUUGUCGCCAAGGAGAAGGAAUUGCGUUAACGUAAAGAAAACAAUAAUUAGUUCCUAUGUCUUCCAUCCCCUAGUUUCCCCUAUCCGUAUAUUCGCAUACAUGAAUCCAUCUUCAUAUAUGUAUACUGCAUAUGGGGCCCGGAUGUUUAUCAAUUGCUUAUUGGAUGGCUGAAGAACUUGGACUUUUUCACAUUGACAGAGAUGGGAAGACUCUUUAUUUGAACCCUUAUGCAUGAAACCAAGAGUGUUACGGAGCUCCAUGAUUGAUCUGCUCUGUUCGUGACUGUAGCAAAGUAUAUCACCGGCACUUAAUGACAUAGAUCAAGUUGGCAUAACCCCUGAUGUACAGUGCACGACGGAAAUGCUGAAUUCUCCACCCAAGGAAAGGGACGUUAUGGGUCGCCAUUGGAACCCAAUUCUUGUAGCAUGGUAGCAGAGCAUGAGUUGGACGUUAAGGAGUCCAAAGAUGCUGCCUCGUAAACUAAGUUGUCUUUGUAACAUAGAAUUGAAUGUAACAUUGCUAACGGAUGGUGGAAAUUAUAUUUUAAUCCCUAUUCUUUUUCAGAUGUAUACGCAAAAUCAGGAUGUUGGAAUUUACUCUCUCUUGGAAUUUACUACCAUUCUUCAAUCUUC